rnacentral:sRNA from 1 species
UCACUCACGGGGUCACCACUUUAGGAGU